CAGGCUCAGAGUCAGGAAUUUAAUUAUGGGGCGUUUCAGACCUUGAAGUGAACAUGAUUGUGUACUUGCAAUUAAAAGGGGGCUUAGGGGCUUACGUUGAGAACUUCCCUUGUUUGGCUAAUCAUUUGGACCUACGAUGAAAAUGGCUGCGCGGGUGCCCCCAAUGGCUUAAGGCUAGUGUAAGUAUUUUGAGUUUGAAACGCAGGCUAUGUUAUGGAACCGCAAAAUACCUCAUGAUUGUCAGUACAUGGGACCCAUACACCAGGACAAGGCGGGAAUUCAACUCGUGGUUGGCAAAGCGCCCGUCUCUUCUCCGCUCCAGACACUAACCACGGUGAAAUAACGCUGGAGAUCUGUUUUCUCCUCUCUAUUCCCAGUAAGCUUCUGGUCGUUAAUUGAGGGACAUCUAUUAGUCUUUGGAUAAAAGUGGCAGUUUUAAUACCCAAGAAAAAGAUUCCGGGGUAGAUGUCCAACAGACGGUCUCGCUCUAGCGCGCGAAUUGGACGUAUGCCACUGCCGUAGCCCUACAGCCACAUGCAUACAGGGUCUGCUGUGCUGCUGAGUCUCGGUCAGUGUGUGACAUGCAUAACCUACUGGUGGCUGAGGAGGAGAUGAGUGUUUUUACCGGACACCGAUUCAAUUUCUGCCUAUAUUCAGUCUAGGUUUGAGACCGGACUGUGGGGGGGGGACGCGUUGUGCGCUUCGAGGAGGAAUUUGAGUUGAGUGGAAUUCUGAAUCAACUAAGGACUUGAAGACAAAUGACAAGAGGAAUGUAACCGAAGAAAGACGUUUAAAAUGGCACCAAUUGAGAUAAAGGAUCACCUUGUUGAGGGAGGAAGCGAACGGACAGAGAAUGGAAUAAGAGGCAUCUUCACAAGGUCCUUUGCUGCUGUUCCGGGAUUGACUUGCACUUUUCGCACCAAAAUGAACUUGGUACCUUCAGGCGUUUGGAAAUUGCUCCCAAGGAUGAACCAGACUUGUGGAUGGCUACAAUUGUUUUUCUGAGGUCUUGGCUGAUUUCUUUUGAUUUUUUCCAUGAUGUCACACGAAGAGGCACUAAUUUUGAAGGUUGGACUUGAAAUACAUCCACAGGUACACCUCCAA
ensembl:lncRNA